UACGAAGGGGGCUAGCGUUGCUCGGAAUUACUGGGCGUAAAGGGCGCGUAGGCGGCACUGUUAGUCAGGCGUGAAAUUCCUGGGCUCAACCUGGGGACUGCGCUUGAUACGGCAGAGCUUGAGGAUGGAAGAGGGUCGCGGAAUUCCCAGUGUAGAGGUGAAAUUCGUAGAUAUUGGGAAGAACACCGGUGGCGAAGGCGGCUCUCUGGACCGGAUCUGACGCUGAGGCGCGAAAGCGUGGGGAGCAAACAGG
rnacentral:rRNA from 1 species